UUUUGGUAAGCAGAAUUGGCGAUGCGGGAUGAACCGAAAGCGGCGUUAAGGCGCCUAACUACGCGCUCAUUUAGACCCCAGGAAAGGUGUCGAUGCGUAUGGACAGCAGGACGGUGGUCAUGGAAGUCGACAUCCGCUAAGGAGUGUGUAACAACCCACCUGCCGAAUGAAGUAGCCCUGAAAAUGGAUGGCGCUGGAGCCAGCGGACUUAUACCGUUCCAAUUUUCUUGAUGUGUUGGAGAGAAAAUUGAGUAGGAGGGCGUGGGGGUGUUGAUGCAUGCUGUGAUGUGAGUGCAGCAGAAAGCUCCCCUAGUGCAGAUCUUGGUGGAAGUAGCAAGUAUUCAAAAGCGAUCUUUGAAGACUGAAGUGGAGAAAGGUUUCAUGUGAACAUCAAUUGGACAUGAGUGAGUCGGUCCUAAGAGAUAGCCAAGUGGCGUUCUUAGU
rnacentral:rRNA from 1 species